AAAAAUAACAUGAAGAUAUGGCUGCAUUCAAAAAAUUAAAGAAUCUGAAUUUUGUGUACUUCUCAUUUGAGCACAGAGAAGGAAUAUGCUAUUUCUCCAGUGAGAUGGAGGCAACUCUGCAACAUAAAAGAGUUUGAAUUGGAAAAAAAAAAAUGAGUUUUUAUUGCCGAUCUGGCUUCUCUAUGACACAUUUUAUCACUAUCAGCUGGAAUCUGUGCCCUGUUUCUUAUCUCUGUAAAGUAAGGAUAGUUCCUUCUUUCUCUCAGAACUGGGACUGGAUUUGAUAUGAUUACCUCAAAUAAGCACAAGUAAGGCCAAGGUAUUAAGAUUUUCAUUGUUCUAAUUAAUCUUGCCAAAAUAACAUAUGAGCAUUCUGACUUACGAUUGUAUCCUGUACUUAAAGAAAUUAAAUCUUAUUUUUUGCUUUUGAAUUGAUAGUGAGUAUAAUGACUCCACAGUAAUUGUGACUUCUAACAGAAGUGUGCCUUUGUUUCUGAUCAUUUUUCAGAGCUACAGUCUCUUUCUGUGUUGCUGUGGGUACAUAGGAAUAAGAUCAUGAUACGAUACAUCCUGAUGAGAUAUGUGCAAACACAAGGUUGCAGAAAUGUUAAUCAGGAGUGUUCUCCUGAUAUGGUUUUGUUUUGUAUAUAUCUUAUAGUGGUUAUUCUCUGCCCCCCCUCAACAGAGCCUUAUCUUAGAGCAAUGGAAUAAUUUGAAAAUCUGAACCUCUCCCCAGUACCUUCCAGAGAUGCUCAAGCUAUAACUUUGGAGUUGGUCUGGGCAGGGUGGUCCCCCUCAGCUUACCAGCAGUGCACCUUUAAGAAAGGUCCUUACUGUGCCAGGAAAAGGCUCUGGUAUUUCGGGACAUGCCUUGACUGAGAAAGUGGAUAUCCGACCUCAGGGGUCAGGAGCCAUGGAUAGGCCUUUCACAUAAAUGAAACACAAUUUUUAACUUUUGAUUUUUUGAGCACUGUAAUAGUUCAGAUAUUCACAAUUAAAAUUAAGAGCAAAGAUAAAGUUGUAUGCAAUCAGUAAGAUAAAUUACAUCAUAUGCUUAGGUUCCACAUUCCCCACAGGUUAGGAUAACCAAGCAAUGGAAAAAUGUGAAAGAAGAGAGAGAAAAAGAAGCAGAAGUUAAGGGGAUGAUCACAGAGGGUAAAUCCCUCAGAACCGCAAGAAGCCCAGCGGUCUAAACAUCUCCUUCCUCUGAACCAUCAAGAAUUGGGUCCUUCCUGACAGUAAAUCAUCAGGUGGUGCCUGAUCUGAACACAGGCUGCCAAGGAGGACCCAUCUGAGACAGAUUAAAACACAGCCACCAGUUCUCAUUGCAUCUGCUCCUGAGUGUCAGUGGCAGCCACGUCAUGCUCCGUGAAAAAGACUGUUUUCUCUCAUCCUUCACUUACUCACCGACUUUUUGGACCCAAGUGCAGAAUGCUACAUUUAUUAUAUUCAUCCUUAUCAUAUCUCAACAUUUGGAUUAUAGAUGAGUGCUGCAAAAUACUUUUAGUCCCUGAUAGCUUUAGUUUCCCCAUCUGUAGGAGGCGGGCAGUAAUGUAAGUGCCCUGCUCGCGGGGCUGCUGCGGGAGUCCAGUGACUUACAUUAAAUAAAGGCCGUUGAAGGGAGCCCACGCUCACCAGUGCUCAUUAAACAUCUAUUUCUGAUGUUAUGUUUCACCCAGGUAAUGAGUAAAACAUCACGGCACACCACAAGCCCUCCUCUGGUCAGCACUGCCCAGCGGCACUCCGGUCACAGUCACUCCAUCGCCCAACAGCCCUCAGCUCCUCUGUCCAGGCCGGGUUUGUAGCUUUCUCUGCCAAAUGCCUCACUGACAACUAAGGCUGCUGUGUGACCUGCAGGAGGAGGCUAGCCACCCCUCACCAAACAAAGGCCUCCCAGACCCCUGCUGGCUCUGUGCUGGGACCCCUGCUGGCUCUCUGAAGGGCUGGCUCCUCAGGAUCCACAAUCUGACCUCCAACUCCUUUAAGUCUUUGCAACUGACCAAAUACCCAGCAGAACAGAACUGUGUUUCAAUCCAAAUUAAAUUUUGAUU